AAAUUGAAGAGUUUGAUCAUGGCUCAGAUUGAACGCUGGCGGCAGGCCUAACACAUGCAAGUCGAACGGUAACAGGAAGCAGCUUGCUGCUUCGCUGACGAGUGGCGGACGGGUGAGUAAUGUCUGGGAAACUGCCUGAUGGAGGGGGAUAACUACUGGAAACGGUGGCUAAUACCGCAUAACGUCGCAAGACCAAAGAGGGGGACCUUCGGGCCUCUUGCCAUCAGAUGUGCCCAGAUGGGAUUAGCUGGUUGGUGAGGUAACGGCUCACCAAGGCGACGAUCCCUAGCUGGUCUGAGAGGAUGACCAGCCACACUGGAACUGAGACACGGUCCAGACUCCUACGGGAGGCAGCAGUGGGGAAUAUUGCACAAUGGGCGCAAGCCUGAUGCAGCCAUGCCGCGUGUAUGAAGAAGGCCUUCGGGUUGUAAAGUACUUUCAGCGGGGAGGAAGGUGUUGUGGUUAAUAACCGCAGCAAUUGACGUUACCCGCAGAAGAAGCACCGGCUAACUCCGUGCCAGCAGCCGCGGUAAUACGGAGGGUGCAAGCGUUAAUCGGAAUUACUGGGCGUAAAGCGCACGCAGGCGGUCUGUCAAGUCGGAUGUGAAAUCCCCGGGCUCAACCUGGGAACUGCAUUCGAAACUGGCAGGCUUGAGUCUUGUAGAGGGGGGUAGAAUUCCAGGUGUAGCGGUGAAAUGCGUAGAGAUCUGGAGGAAUACCGGUGGCGAAGGCGGCCCCCUGGACAAAGACUGACGCUCAGGUGCGAAAGCGUGGGGAGCAAACAGGAUUAGAUACCCUGGUAGUCCACGCCGUAAACGAUGUCUACUUGGAGGUUGUGCCCUUGAGGCGUGGCUUCCGGAGCUAACGCGUUAAGUAGACCGCCUGGGGAGUACGGCCGCAAGGUUAAAACUCAAAUGAAUUGACGGGGGCCCGCACAAGCGGUGGAGCAUGUGGUUUAAUUCGAUGCAACGCGAAGAACCUUACCUGGUCUUGACAUCCACGGAAGUUUUCAGAGAUGAGAAUGUGCCUUCGGGAACCGUGAGACAGGUGCUGCAUGGCUGUCGUCAGCUCGUGUUGUGAAAUGUUGGGUUAAGUCCCGCAACGAGCGCAACCCUUAUCCUUUGUUGCCAGCGGUCCGGCCGGGAACUCAAAGGAGACUGCCAGUGAUAAACUGGAGGAAGGUGGGGAUGACGUCAAGUCAUCAUGGCCCUUACGACCAGGGCUACACACGUGCUACAAUGGCGCAUACAAAGAGAAGCGACCUCGCGAGAGCAAGCGGACCUCAUAAAGUGCGUCGUAGUCCGGAUUGGAGUCUGCAACUCGACUCCAUGAAGUCGGAAUCGCUAGUAAUCGUGGAUCAGAAUGCCACGGUGAAUACGUUCCCGGGCCUUGUACACACCGCCCGUCACACCAUGGGAGUGGGUUGCAAAAGAAGUAGGUAGCUUAACCUUCGGGAGGGCGCUUACCACUUUGUGAUUCAUGACUGGGGUGAAGUCGUAACAAGGUAACCGUAGGGGAACCUGCGGUUGGAUCACCUCCUUA
rnacentral:rRNA from 2 species